rnacentral:rRNA from 1 species
ACAGCAGCCGCGGGAAUACGGAGGGUGCAAGCGUUGUCCGGAUUUAUUGGGCGUAAAGCGAGCGCAGGCGGUUAGAUAAGUCUGAAGUUAAAGGCUGUGGCUUAACCAUAGUACGCUUUGGAAACUGUUUAACUUGAGUGCAAGAGGGGAGAGUGGAAUUCCAUGUGUAGUGGUGAAAUGCGUAGAUAUAUGGAGGAACACCGGUGGCGAAAGCGGCUCUCUGGCUUGUAACUGACGCCGAGGCUCGAAAGCGUGGGGAGCAAACAGGAUUAGAUACCCGCGUAGUCCCUGUCUCUUAUACACAU